UAAGUUACAGUCAUAGUGAGGCUCAGAUCUUGUAGAGCUUUACAACUGAUAGUUUCUUUUCCACAAGUAAGCCUGUAGAGGUUUUUGCAUGAUUUACACAAUCAAUAAAUAAAAACUUUUAAGUAAUCUUUGCCUGUUAUAUUUUCAAAAUGCUUCCAUUUCAAUUUUACUAAUUUCCCUUUACUUUUUUUUGCAGAUAGAAGAUGAAACAGAGGUUCCACCCUCAAGAACAGACAGUGUAUUUCUGACCAAAGAAAUGCUUGGGUACAACUCCGAUUUGUCACUUUCCACUAUGACCAGCAGUGAGGGUGAUUAUGUCCCAGCAUCAUCAGGCCAGUUCAGAUGAAAGUAGUCAGAAACAAAGACCAAAAGCUUCAGGUGGGUUAUUCGGAGCUAAGAACAAGUAGUGAGGCAGGGAUGCUGGUGCACAUUCCAGAGAGGAAGAUUCAGAUGAACCAAGACUCAGAAGAAAAACAAUACAACAGAAGUGAUAAGAGAUGCUCAAGUUCAACUUAAGACGAGGAUUUGAGUGAAUCAAGACACAAAACAAAGAGAGGCACCAUUUCUCGAGUAGAAGGUGAACCAGAUGACUGCUUCAAUCAAAAGAAAGAAUAGUAGAAAGACAUACACAAGAAUAUCUACUAUCUCUAGCUCAGUUCAGAAGAGUGUUUCUCUGGUUGUAGCUGAUGUUCCAAAAGUAGAUGGGAGCAAGAAAUACCACAAGAGAAACUACUGUAUUUACUGUGGUGAACCGCAAUC